CAGUCGCCGCGGUAAUACGUAGGUGGCAAGCGUUGUCCGGAAUUAUUGGGCGUAAAGGGCUCGCAGGCGGUUUCUUAAGUCUGAUGUGAAAGCCCCCGGCUCAACCGGGGAGGGUCAUUGGAAACUGGGAAACUUGGGUGCAGAAGAGGAGAGUGGAAUUCCACGUGUAGCGGUGAAAUGCGUAGAGAUGUGGAGGAACACCAGUGGCGAAGGCGACUCUCUGGUCUGUAACUGACGCUGAGGAGCGAAAGCGUGGGGAGCAAACAGGAUUAGAGACCCCUGUAGUCCCUGUCUCUUAUAA
rnacentral:rRNA from 1 species